rnacentral:rRNA from 1 species
UGUGAACUCGAAGAGUAGGGCGGGACACGUGGUAUCCUGUCUGAAUAUGGGGGGACCAUCCUCCAAGGCUAAAUACUCCUGACUGACCGAUAGUGAACCAGUACCGUGAGGGAAAGGCGAAAAGAACCCCGGCGAGGGGAGUGAAAAAGAACCUGAAACCGUGUACGUACAAGCAGUGGGAGCACCUUCGGGUGUGACUGCGUACCUUUUGUAUAAUGGGUCAGCGACUUAUAUUCUGUAGCAAGGUUAACCGUAUAGGGGAGCCGCAGGGAAACCGAGUCUUAACUGGGCGUUAAGUUGCAGGGUAUAGACCCGAAACCCGGUGAUCUAGCCAUGGGCAGGUUGAAGGUUGGGUAACACUAACUGGAGGACCGAACCGACUAAUGUUGAAAAAUUAGCGGAUGACUUGUGGCUGGGGGUGAAAGGCCAAUCAAACCGGGAGAUAGCUGGUUCUCCCCGAAAGCUAUUUAGGUAGCGCCUCGUGAACUCAUCUUCGGGGGUAGAGCACUGUUUCGGCUAGGGGGUCAUCCCGACUUACCAACCCGAUGCAAACUACGAAUACCGAAGAAUGUUAUCACGGGAGACACACGGCGGGUGCUAACGUCCGUCGUGAAGAGGGAAACAACCCAGACCGCCAGCUAAGGUCCCAAAGUCAUGGUUAAGUGGGAAACGAUGUGGGAAGGCACAGACAGCCAGGAUGUUGGCUUAGAAGCAGCCAUCAUUUAAAGAAAGCGUAAUAGCUCACUGGUCGAGUCGGCCUGCGCGGAAGAUGUAACGGGGCUAAACCAUGCACCGAAGCUGCGGCAGCGACACUAUGUGUUGUUGGGUAGGGGAGCGUUCUGUAAGCCUGCGAAGGUGACCUGUGAGGGUUGCUGGAGGUAUCAGAAGUGCGAAUGCUGACAUAAGUAACGAUAAAGCGGGUGAAAAGCCCGCUCGCCGGAAGACCAAGGGUUCCUGUCCAACGUUAAUCGGGGCAGGGUGAGUCGACCCCUAAGGCGAGGCCGAAAGGCGUAGUCGAUGGGAAACAGGUUAAUAUUCCUGUACUUGGUGUUACUGCGAAGGGGGGACGGAGAAGGCUAUGUUAGCCGGGCGACGGUUGUCCCGGUUUAAGCAUGUAGGCUGGUUAUCCAGGCAAAUCCGGAUAAUCAAGGCUGAGGUGUGAUGACGAGGCACUACGGUGCUGAAGUAACAAAUGCCCUGCUUCCAGGAAAAGCCUCUAAGCAUCAGGUAACAUCAAAUCGUACCCCAAACCGACACAGGUGGUCAGGUAGAGAAUACCAAGGCGCUUGAGAGAACUCGGGUGAAGGAACUAGGCAAAAUGGUGCCGUAACUUCGGGAGAAGGCACGCUGGUGUGUAGGUGAAGCCCCUGCGGGUGGAGCUGAGACCAGUCGAAGAUACCAGCUGGCUGCAACUGUUUAUUAAAAACACAGCACUGUGCAAACACGAAAGUGGACGUAUACGGUGUGACGCCUGCCCGGUGCCGGAAGGUUAAUUGAUGGGGUUAUCCGUAAGGAGAAGCUCUUGAUCGAAGCCCCGGUAAACGGCGGCCGUAACUAUAACGGUCCUAAGGUAGCGAAAUUCCUUGUCGGGUAAGUUCCGACCUGCACGAAUGGCGUAAUGAUGGCCAGGCUGUCUCCACCCGAGACUCAGUGAAAUUGAACUCGCUGUGAAGAUGCAGUGUACCCGCGGCAAGACGGAAAGACCCCGUGAACCUUUACUAUAGCUUGACACUGAACAUUGAGCCUUGAUGUGUAGGAUAGGUGGGAGGCUUUGAAGCGUGGACGCCAGUCUGCGUGGAGCCAACCUUGAAAUACCACCCUUUAAUGUUUGAUGUUCUAACGUUGGCCCCUUACCGGGGUUGCGGACAGUGUCUGGUGGGUAGUUUGACUGGGGCGGUCUCCUCCCAAAGCGUAACGGAGGAGCACGAAGGUUAGCUAAUCCUGGUCGGACAUCAGGAGGUUAGUGCAAUGGCAUAAGCUAGCUUGACUGCGAGCGUGACGGCGCGAGCAGGUGCGAAAGCAGGUCAUAGUGAUCCGGUGGUUCUGAAUGGAAGGGCCAUCGCUCAACGGAUAAAAGGUACUCCGGGGAUAACAGGCUGAUACCGCCCAAGAGUUCAUAUCGACGGCGGUGUUUGGCACCUCGAUGUCGGCUCAUCACAUCCUGGGGCUGAAG